UACGUAGGGGGCAAGCGUUGUCCGGAAUCAUUGGGCGUAAAGCGCGUGUAGGCGGCCCGGUAAGUCCGCUGUGAAAGUCGGGGGCUCAACCCUCGAAUGCCGGUGGAUACUGUCGGGCUAGAGUGCGGGAGAGGCGAGUGGAAUUCCUGGUGUAGCGGUGGAAUGCGCAGAUAUCAGGAGGAACACCAAUAGCGAAGGCAGCUCGCUGGGACGGUACUGACGCUAAGGCGCGAAAGCGUGGGGAGCGAACAGG
rnacentral:rRNA from 1 species